CCCCCUCCAGCCUCACACACCCCGGGCUGCCUCCAACCCCCACUUCCACCUUGUUCCCUGGUGCCCUGGCUGAGGCCCUCAGCCUCCUUGACUCUCCGCUGCAGCGCCCCUCGCCUCUGUCCUCCCCGUCACCCCCAACCCCUGGACACACUCCUGGCGUCUAGGACCCCAGAGGCCUUCCUCCCGGGCCACUUCUUUUCAGGCUCUGCGGUGUGCUCCUCUUCCUCGGGCCAUCUGCAUGGAGACGCCAGGACUCUUCUCCCAGGAAGGUCAUUGCCCUCAGCGUUGUAGCCACCCCGCUGCUCUGACGACACCCACAUCCCUGUCUUCAGCCCCAGCCCCUCCUGAGCAUGCUGCCCUGAUACCCCGACCCCCAGAGGCCUCCCCAGCUAGACAGUUGCCCAUCUCCCAGGGACUGGAGGACCGAGAAUGAGCAGCCAGGCUGCAGUUCAAGGUUGAACUUGGAAGAGCCAGGAGGAGCCAGAAGAAGAGCGUUCCUGGUUCCUGGAAGGGAGCUGGAGGGCAAGGGUGGGCUGUGGGGCCUGGGGGAGGGGCGUCCCCGGCUCUCCCACUUUGCAGCCCCUGUCCUUGUCUUCAGGUGGCCCCAUCUCCUCUUCUCAGCUGCCUGACCCCCAGACACUCCCCCUUGGUAGGUGCCAGCCUGCUUUUUUCUGCCUCCUCUCGUGCAAGCUCCAGCUCGGCCUCCCUCACCCCCAAGGAUCCUGGCGGUCCCUCCAGCCCAGCUUCUUCCCUGGGCUGUGACCCCUCACCUCCCCGUUCCUGCUCCCGUCGGAAGGAAGCGUGAACUGCCUAGUCCAUGGGUGGGGCUGGGGUGGAGAGGGCAGAUGGCUUGAUGCCCUGACACAUAGUAGGUGCUCCAUGAAGGCCUUAAGAAAGUCACUAGUAUGGGCUGCGCUCAGCUUAGGACUCUGCCGGUGGGCCUCCAACCCUGCCGGGAGCCCACCCAGCCGUGACCCCUCUUCCUGGCAAACAGGGGAGUUUGCUCGCCCCCGGCCAAGACCUCCAGCAAGGCAGAAAUUCCUGUUUUCGGCCGAACAUAGACACAGCUGCCCACUAGGUCAUCAGAGCAUCCGGUAAGUUCCAGGGAGAGAGGAGGCCCUCGCCCAGCCCCCGUCACAGACGGACUGCAGUGCCAGGUCUCCCGGCUCCCUUGAUCCAGUGAGCUGCUCCGGCCCUCCACGAGGACCAGGGCCCAGCAGAAGCCAAGCUCGCAGGCCUGGCAAGAGAGGAAGAAGCCGGCAGCCAUGGCCGGCCGCUGCCUCCCCCUCUCUGUCCCCUGUGCUAGCAUAUCCCCUGGGACCCAGGGUCUCCCUUCUGCUUUCUGGGUCCCUGUCAUCUAGCAGCUCACAAGGCCCUGCAAGUCUGGGUCCCCACGGCCCUCCAGCGCCAUCCCGUCUGGCCACCUCCCACCUCUCACUCAAACUGAUGAUCACUGAGCAUUUCCGGGGGGGCCCUGCACGGACCACUUGGUGUACAUAGUCUUAGAUAAUUCCACUAGCCUUUAGAGAGACCCUCAUUUUAUUAUUAAUAUUUUUUUCUUUUCGUGGCCACACACACAUAUGGAAGUUCCUGGGCUAGGAGUCUGAUCGGAGCUGCGGCUGCCAGCCUACGCCACAGCCAUGGCAAUGCCAGAUCCAAGCUGCAUCUGUGACCUACGCCGCAGCUCAUAGCAACACUGGAUCUUUAACCCACCAAGCAAGGCCAGGGAUCGAACGCGCGUCCUCACGAGCCACAGCAGGAACUCCCAUCAUCUUCAUUUUAGCGAAGCUGAGACUCAAGAUUCCACGGCUGUAAGAUGCCACAGUGGAGAUUUGAACCCAGGUCUGCCUCCCUCCUCUUAACCAUUAGGCAGUGAUCUUAGGGACCAUUAGGGAGCACCCCUCCUGAUCUAGUGAACACCAGGCUCUCCCCGACCUCCUCUAUUUGAAGUGUCUCACCCACCCUGAUCCACCUGCCAAAUGCCUUAUUCAACCCCUGGCCUCAUCGCCUCUGGGAAGACCGCCCUGAUUGCCCUCCUCCAGCUGCCAGCGGCCUUGGGCUGCCCUGGGCCACAGUCCUGGGAUGUCUGCCUGACCCACCACCAGGCUGGGAGCUCCUGGGGGGAGGUCCCACCGGAUCCUUUCUGUGUUCCUGGGCCCGUGAACCAGCACUGAGGCAAGUUCGGAGACGUCUCCUGGAUGGAUGGUGCUGCCCUCCAGGACCUAAAGGCUUUGGGAGUAAGAUCAGCUCUCAGACCAAGAAUGAGGGCCAGGCUGUUCAGACAGACCCAAGGGACACAGGGGACUGCAGGGUGUGGGCUGCCCGGGGGAGAGGCCUCUCCUCUCCCCAGCCUCGUUCCCCUUCGUUCCUCUUGCCUCUGGGACCCCGCUCUCCCCCCACCCCCACCCUCUCUUCUGCAUCUCCUGCCUUGGCCACCUCUCCCCCACCCCUCUCACUGGGAGCAGUCGGGGCUGUGGUGCUGAGAACGCAGAGGGGUGAAGGGAGGGAGGCCCGAGCUGUUUAUAGGAACUGGAGCAGCUCCAUCCAUCAGCUCUGUUUGGAGCUGGAGACCAAGCAUAAUAAAUACCUUGGCUCCUCCCCAGCUGUGCUUUCCCUGAACUUGGCCAUUCGAACUCCAAAUCUCUCUGGCCUGCUGGUUCUCAGGACCCAGUUCCCACCCCACCCCACCCCGCUCCCACCUCCCACCGAGCUGCCCCCUGGAAAGAGCUCUGCCUCCGAGACCAGAGACACGGGGCUGAGGCUAGGCUGCGCCGCUGCUUGGCUUUCAGAGCAAGGACACGUCACCCUGCUUGCCCGUGCCUCCACUUCCCUGUCUGUAAAAUGGGGCUGUAAUCACUGUCUCCCCCGACCCCGCCCCGCCACCUCACAUGUUAGAUCAGAGUGUGCGGGGAGAGCCCCCACCCCCGUGGGGUCCCUGGAAACUGGCUGGCAGAGCUUCUGCCUAUUGGGUAGAGGGAGAGGCCCCAGCAUAGCACAGGCAGGAAGUGGUCAGCGCCGCGAGGGAGAUCCAGCCUCUGCGUUCUGGGAGUUUGUUUGCAGCAGCGAGCAGCCCUUCCAGCUGGAGGGAGGGGAGACUUCGAGGACAUCUGGGCUGGCCCUGCAGGCAAGGGUAGGAUUUCCGCAUGUGGACAUGGAGAAGCCUCCUCCAGGCAGCGUAGCGCCUCGGCUAAAGCACAGGCGGGGCAGCAGGCAGAUGCCGGCCUGGGGGUGGGGGAGCUGAGAGGGGACUCCCCCUGCCCAGCCUCCACCCUAUCGCUCCCAGCUUCGGCCUCUCUGACCCUCCAGCACCUUCCCCUCUGACCCUCUAGCCUUUUGGAAUCUUCCCUCCUUCCCUGGAGUGCUUCGGACCCACCCAGCUCCCCCAAGUUGUGGAUACAUUCCCGGAAUUCUGCAGUCACGUCCCUACGCCCUCUCUCCCCAAAGCCACUCUAGAAAGUGGAAGACUCAGAUCAGGGGAAAAGUCGCUGGCCAAUAGCACAUGUUUCUGGAAUGAAUAAGGGAAUAAAUGAAUAAAGGAAUGAAUAAAAGGGUGAGUCAAUGAAAGACAAUAAGUGAGUCGUAAGUUAUCGAAUUCAACGGGCAUAUGGCGCUCUAUGUACAAGCCCCCUCCCCUCGUGGGGCUGGUGUUUUUGCAGGGGUGGGGAAUUGGCAUUAAACACGCGUGUACACGCUCACACACACACAAGAAUAAAGACAAGAUGGCAAAUUGCGAUGAGUAUCACGAGAGGAAAUAAUAGGGAGAUGAAGUUGAAAUGCGCAGACUCAGAGAUGUCCUCUCCAAGGGUGGGAUCCGUGAGCUGAGACUGAAGGCGGACUUGAGUUGAGCCAGUGAAUGGCUAUUCCUUCCAGCCUCUUCCCCCCACUCCCUGAAUGUGUCACAGCACCUUAGGAGAGCAAGAGCUGCCCUCUAGACCCUGAGGUCCCCCUACACGGAGACCCUCCUGGUCUGGCCUUGCCCUAAGUGUCUUGGCUGUUGCAUUCUAGAAUCAUGGAGAAGGAUAUGGAAGGGGUGGUGGGAGGAUGGCCAAGGGAUGGACCCCAGGAGUGAAGCCCUGUGGGGGUCGGGGGCUGGCUAGGCUGCAGGGUAAGAGAGUCAAGUUCCAAAGGUCUCUGCUUUAAAAUUUGAGUUGGGGAGGUUGGAUGGCCUUGGCUCCCUCCGCCAUUCCUGGGGCACCCAUGUCAGCUUGCACCGACCAUCCUCUGUCGCCCUAGGUAAUUUACCAACAUCCUCCUGUCUAACCUUCUGUGUGUUUUCUCCAUAAUCAAGUAACCACGGGCAGACAUAUUUAAAUUAUAUGCAAAUGUGCUUUUGCGUGUAUCAUUGUUUUAUAAAAAUGAGCUCUUAUAUGCGGUUUCCUGCAUCUUGCUUUUUUAAAACAAUACUUUAAGGAAAUCCCACCGAAGAGAAUCAGAUAGCUCUGAUUCAUUUUUGACAGGACACAGUAUUCCAGAGUGUGAAGAUUCCAUAAUUCGUUGAGCCAUUUUUCAAGUGUUGGACAUUUACUUCGUUAUCUUUUCUUACAACUGUAAACAUGCUGCAAAAUCAUCCCUGUUCAUAUGCCCAUAGGCUCUGGGAGUUGUAUUUCUGUCAGAUAAAUAUUUACAAGUGAGAUUCUACAUCAAUGGACAGAUGUAUACAUAUAUAUAUAUAU
rnacentral:lncRNA from 1 species